rnacentral:rRNA from 1 species
GACGAACGCUGGCGGUGUGCUUAACACAUGCAAGUCGAACGGUAAGGCCCUUUCUGGGUUACACGCUUGGCUGACGGGUGGGUAACACGUACGUAACUUGCCCUCCUUUCUGUGAUAACUGUCUGAAACGGUUUCUAAUUCUUGCUAUGUGCCUGCUCGGCCUCUUUUGUGUUGGAUAGAUUUUUUGGUUGGGUAUGGAAUCGCGGGCUAUCAGCUUGUUUGUGGGGUAGUGGCUCACCAAGGCUUCGAUGGGUAGCCGGCCUGGGUGGGCGAACGGCCAAAAUGGGAAUGAGAUACGGCCCAAACUCCUACGGGAGGCAAGAGGGGGGAAUAAUGGACAAAGGACGGAAGGCUGAUGCAGCAAAGCCGCGUGCGGGAAGAAGGGCUUCGGGUUGGAAACCGCUUUCAAUUGGGAAGAAACUUUGUGUGACGGUAGCAGUAGAAGAAGCACCGGCUAACUACGUG